rnacentral:lncRNA from 1 species
ACAUACUAGAUCUAAAAAGUGUAUUUCUUUUGUAUUUUUAUAGAGAUUAAUUUUCUUUUUAUUAUUUUAAAGGACUGAAAUUUUUGAAAACAACCAAGAAGGAAAGCAACUGCUACUGGAAGAGAAGAGCAAAAGGAGCUCAGAGAUAGACAUAGUUUGAGAAUAUUUAGGAGCAGAAGAACAAUAACAUCACUGAAUAUAUGGAGUUAUAAACUUUUGUGCAGGCAAAGACAGCACCUGGUCCUACUGUUCUCCAAUGAUGAUGCAUUUGCAGUGAGUACUACAAAUCUUUGCCCAAUCAAAUCAUCCUUUGUUUUUACAGUGACUAUAUUUUAAAAUGUAGGAUUAAAUGACUUUGGAGAUUAGAAUAUUUAUAUAUUUCAUGUUUAACUUUUAUGUUCUUCUCAAAGUUAGGAGAAGAGGAAGCAAAUAAGACAGUUCAAAGGUU